CACAGAUGAUUUCCAGAUUUCGUACAACUAACUCGUCCGUAUCGACAUGUUAUCUGCAGAGCUUUCCACCGCGAUAAGGCCAAGAUCCAAAAAAAAAACCGAUUAAAUACUUCGCAACGUUUUUAAUAAUAAUUAUUAUAUCGCAUGGUGCGUAUUAAUCGUAUCAUGUGAUUUUUUUCAAAAAAGUUGUAUAUUUUGUUUGUAUAAAAUGUACUGUCGCUAUAAAAUUAUUAUGUACAGCGUACCGGUGCAUAAUAUAAUACGGAAUACCUACUACCAGCUACCUACAGAAAGCGCAUCGUGUCUCGAAUUCAACAGCCGGAUGUUUUCUGAAAUGGACUGAAAUAACGAGGUGCGGUGCGAAAAACUCGCCGGCCGACGUCGUGUGCAGGCCAAUAAGGUUUCGUUUUUCGAAAAAGGUCAAACCCGAAGGUGUUAAUUAAACCGCGGGAAUGCGAUGUACAUAUUAUAAUAAUACGAUGCACACACGCGCCGCUGGGGAAAAAAGACUUGUCAGGUGACUAGUAUAAACUGCUGCAGAAUAGUACCUGCCCGAAACGAUUCUGACAUUUAGUCCUUAGGGUGUAGUGGAAGCGGCUUUCCCGAACCUUCUACAGAAUAGUUAUUGUACCCAAAAGAGGUAA